CCUUCACCCACCCCCUGAGUGCCCAGGCAGGGGGGAAGACACCCUUCACCCACCCCCUGAGUGCCCAGGCAGGGGGGAAGACACCCUUCACCCAACCUCUGAGUGCCCAGACAGGGGGAGAUAUUGAUAUUGAUUAUGUGGGUGCCCAGGGAGGGGUGGGAUAUUGAUAUUGAUUAUGUGGGUGCCCAGGGAGGGGUGGGAUAUUGAUAUUGAUUAUGUGGGUGCCCAG